GUCGAGAAUCUUCGGCAAUGGGCGCAAGCCUGACCGAGCGACGCCGCGUGGAGGACGAAGGCCUUCGGGUUGUAAACUCCUGUCGAGGGGGAGGAAGUCGCAAGAUUGACCGAUCCCUGGAGGAAGCACGGGCUAAGUUCGUGCCAGCAGCCGCGGUAAGACGAACCGUGCGAACGUUAUUCGGAAUCACUGGGCUUAAAGCGCGUGUAGGUGGGCGACCACGUCGGUUGCUGAAAUCCCUCGGCUCAACCGAGGAACGGGCAGCGAUACGAGUCGCCUGGAGGGGGGUAGGGGGAGCUGGAACUUCCGGUGGAGCGGUGAAAUGCGUUGAGAUCGGAAGGAACGCCCGUGGCGAAAGCGAGCUCCUGGACCUUUUCUGACACUGAGACGCGAAAGCUAGGGGAGCGAACGGGAUUAGAUACCCUUGUAGUCC
rnacentral:rRNA from 1 species